UCUCGCUCUGUCCCGCUGCCUGGAGUGCAGUGGCGCGAUCUCGGCUCACUGCAAGCUCCGCCUCCCAGGUUCGCGCCAUUCUCCUGCCUCAGCCUCCCGAGUAGCUGGGACUAUAGGCGCCCUCUACCGCGCCCAGCUAAUGUUUUUUUGUUUUUGUAUUUUUAGUAGAGACGGGGUUUCACCGUGUUAGCCAGGAUGGUCUCGAUCUCCUGACCUCGUGAUCCGCCCGCCUCGGCCUCCCAAAGUGCUGGGAUUACAGGAGUGAGCCACCGCGCCCGGCCACGUAGUUUGACUUCUAAGAGCACUACAGCUCUGCUGAAGAUGUGGUUUGUCAGCUGACUGAUUAUUCUCUGCUGUUCUGGAUAGUCUUCUAUGUACAAAACUAGAGAUGAGUGGACUUUUCGUGUGCUGUGUGGUGGAUGUGACUCAGGUCAUAGCCACUGCUCUGAAAAGUGAUGGAGUCAGGGAGCCAUCAUCCAGCCUCACCUCCUGGGUUGUCAACCUACAUUUUUGGAGCCAGCUCAUUCUUUGAGGUUUCUCUAAGUCCCCAUAUAUUACAAGAAUCUCGGAUACAUUACUUGAGGACAGUAUAGAUUCCAGAAGAGCUGCUAUUCAUGUUGACCAACAGUCUUAAGCAGAAAGAAAUAGCUUCUGGAAAAAUAACUCCUCUCUCAUCAUGUGACAUACCUGCCACCCCUUCUUUUGCCAUGAUUGGGAGCUUCCUGAGGCCUCACCAGAAGCAGCUGCUGGCACCAUGCUUCUUGUAUAGUCUGCAGAAUCCUGAGCCACAUAAAUCUCUUUUUUAAAUAUAAACUACCCAGUCUCAGGUAUUCCUUUAUAUCAUUGUAAAAUAGACUAACACAAUUUUGUUUUACACCUGCUUUCUUUCUUUUCCAAUAACAAUGUAACAGAGGGCACAAUACCUAGUAAGAAGGCAUGGCUAGUAUUUUAAAAUUUUGUUUUCUUGGAAGGUGCAUAUGGAUAGUUCUUCUGGUAUAUACAUG
rnacentral:lncRNA from 10 species